rnacentral:rRNA from 1 species
GACGAACGCUGGCGGCGUGCCUAACACAUGCAAGUCGAGCGAGUGAAUCUCCUUCGGGAGUGAAGCUAGCGGCGGACGGGUGAGUAACACGUGGGCAACCUGCCUCAUAGAGGGGAAUAGCCUUUCGAAAGGAAGAUUAAUACCGCAUAAGAUUGUAGCUUCGCAUGAAGUAGCAAUUAAAGGAGCAAUCCGCUAUGAGAUGGGCCCGCGGCGCAUUAGCUAGUUGGUGAGGUAACGGCUCACCAAGGCGACGAUGCGUAGCCGACCUGAGAGGGUGAACGGCCACAUGGGGACUGAGACACGGCCCAGACGCCUACGGGAGGCAGCAGUGGGGAAUAUUGCACAAUGGGGGAAACCCUGAUGCAGCAACGCCGCGUGAGUGAUGACGGCCUUCGGGUUGUAAAGCUCUGUCUUCAGGGACGAUAAUGACGGUACCUGAGGAGGAAGCCACGGCUAACUACGUGCCAGCAGCCGCAGUAACAC